rnacentral:rRNA from 1 species
UUUUUGGAGAGUUUGAUCCUGGCUCAGGAUGAACGCUGGCGGCAUGCCUAAGACAUGCAAGUCGUACGAAGUAGCCCAAAGAAGUGGAGUGCUUGCACGAAGCGGACUUGGAUCACUACUUAGUGGCGGAAGGGUGAGUA